rnacentral:rRNA from 1 species
GCAGCACAGAAGAGCUUGCUCUUUGGGUGGCGAGUGGCGGACGGGUGAGUAAUGUCUGGGAAACUGCCCGAUGGAGGGGGAUAACUACUGGAAACGGUAGCUAAUACCGCAUAACGUCGCGAGACCAAAGUGGGGGACCUUCGGGCCUCACACCAUCGGAUGUGCCCAGAUGGGAUUAGCUAGUAGGUGGGGUAACGGCUCACCUAGGCGACGAUCCCUAGCUGGUCUGAGAGGAUGACCAGCCACACUGGAACUGAGACACGGUCCAGACUCCUACGGGAGGCAGCAGUGGGGAAUAUUGCACAAUGGGCGCAAGCCUGAUGCAGCCAUGCCGCGUGUAUGAAGAAGGCCUUCGGGUUGUAAAGUACUUUCAGCGGGGAGGAAGGCGAUGCGGUUAAUAACCGCGUCGAUUGACGUUACCCGCAGAAGAAGCACCGGCUAACUCCGUGCCAGCAGCCGCGGUAAUACGGAGGGUGCAAGCGUUAAUCGGAAUUACUGGGCGUAAAGCGCACGCAGGCGGUCUGUCAAGUCGGAUGUGAAAUCCCCGGGCUUAACCUGGGAACUGCAUUCGAAACUGGCAGGCUAGAGUCUUGUAGAGGGGGGUAGAAUUCCAGGUGUAGCGGUGAAAUGCGUAGAGAUCUGGAGGAAUACCGGU